rnacentral:lncRNA from 1 species
ACUCUUCAUGCAAAGCCUGAAGGCCCAGGGUGUUUUAAAUCACCCAACCUCAAAGCCGUGCACCUCUUUGUUUUGAUUUGAAUCCCAUGGUAGCCCCUGGACCCCGCCUGCUUUCUUCCUUUUAUUUGACUGAAACCAAGCCACUGUCAUAGGUCACAGGUGCGCCUAUUUGAAACUGCCAAGCCCACCAACACCCAUCAUAGUAGUCGGAACC